AGGGUCAGUGUCUGUCUGUGUGAUGCUUUUGCUGGGGACAGAACAGGAAUGGAGUCUUAGAAUUUAAACAUUGUAGCUCCAUGAGGAUGAAGCUCCGAGCCUGGGGACACUGGGAGGAGAAGGCGAGAGCAAGACUGCUGACUUGGUACAUGCCUCACAGAGAAAAUGGUAAAAUAAAUCAGGAGACUUGAAGAACCUGCUCCUCGUUGUCCUCUGGCAAUUGAAGGAUGGAUUUGCUGGAUUCAUCAGCUGUUAGCCACAACCUCCAGGCAAGUGGUGAUGUUCCUGAAAUUCAUCACUUCACCAUGUCAUCUUUGCUGGAGGAAGGACUCCCCUUCAUUUGCAGAAAUCGGCAUGCUGGGGAUUAGGCUGCACAUUUCAGAGGACUAGAGACUUUCUGUCCAUAAGCCGCAAAGCGUUGUAGAAAGGAAGGUAACUCUGGAGGCAGGGGCACAUGCAGGGGAAAGGCCAUGCCCUAGGUCACACAGCAGGCCAGAGGUAGAGCAGGGAUUAGAACCCAGUU